CCUACGGGUGGCAGCAGUGAGGAAUAUUGGUCAAUGGGCGCGAGCCUGAACCAGCCAAGUCGCGUGAGGGAGGACGGCCCUACGGGUUGUAAACCUCUUUUGCCGGGGAGCAACGGGCGCCACGUGUGGCGUCACUGAGAGUACCCGGAGAAAAAGCAUCGGCUAACUCCGUGCCAGCAGCCGCGGUAAUACGGAGGGUGCGAGCGUUAUCCGGAUUUAUUGGGUUUAAGGGGUGCGUAGGCGGAUCGUUAAGUCAGUGGUCAAAUGGAGGGGCUCAACCCCUUCCCGCCGUUGAAACUGGCGUUCUUGAGUGCACGGGAGGUAAGCGGAAUGCGUGGUGUAGCGGUGAAAUGCAUAGAUAUGACGCAGAACCCCGAUUGCGAAGGCAGCAUGCCGGCUUCCGACUGACGCUGAAGCACGAAAGCGUGGGGAUCGAACAGGAUUAGAUACCCCGGUAGUC
rnacentral:rRNA from 1 species